UAGGCACAUGAUGCAGCACUGUGA
rnacentral:piRNA from 1 species